AGCAGCCGCGGUAAUUCCAGCUCCAAUAGCGUAUAUUAAAGUUGUUGCAGUUAAAAAGCUCGUAGUUGAAUUUCGGAGUUUGUCGGUUGGUCGGGCUUCACUGUCCGCACUGACCUGAUGGAUUCCUACCUUCUGAAUAACCAGCAUGCUAUUAAGUUAGUGCGUUGGGGAAGCAGAGCUAUUACCUUGAAAAAAUUAGAGUGCUUAAAGCAGGCUUACGCUUGAAUAGAUUAGCAUGGAAUAAUAAAAUAGGACGGCAUGGUUCUAUUUUGUUGGUUUCUAGGAUCACCGUAAUGAUUAAUAGGGAUAGUUGGGGGCAUUAGUAUUCAAUUGUCAGAGGUGAAAUUCUUGGAUUUAUUGAAGACUAACUUCUGCGAAAGCAUUUGCCAAGGAUGUUUUCAUUAAUCAAGAACGAAAGUUAGGGGAUCGAAGACGAUCAGAUACCGUCGU
rnacentral:rRNA from 1 species